GAAAGCUGGAUAUUAUGUGCUUUUGUCCAACAUGUAUGCAUCAGCGGGUAGAUAUGACGAGGCUGAGAUAAUUAGGGACUUGAUGAAAGAAAAGAAUGUCUCUAAGGUACCUGGGUAUAGCUUGAUUGAAUCAAAGAGUUCUUUUCCUCCAUCACAAAAUGAAGAUCUGGAUUUUCUUGAAAUCUGAUGAGUAAUUUUGUGUGAUAUACUUACAACGGCUCCAAUUGCUCUGUUGGAAUAGGAUACAAAAACAGAAUGCUACAGCGUUCAGAGAUAAAGUUAGUAUUACUAUGAUUACUAUGAGCAUAAUGCGUAUAACCUUUCAUAAUUGUAGACCUGCAGCAGUAAGUUGCAUGUUGAGGGAAAUCAUGACUUUGCAUUUUGGAGGAUGCUUUGUAUUGUAUAUCAUGACCUUAAGCAC
rnacentral:misc_RNA from 1 species